CCCCUGACCCCACCCUCCACGGCCCUCUCUGUCGCAGACGUCGUAAAAUGUCUCUCUCCUCAUCAUGGAUCAAAGCUGUUUUCAUCAUUUCCUUGGCAGGACCUCUUCAUUCUGGUGAGUAGAUUUUCAUCUGCAGUGAAACAUGUUACAUAUCUUAGAAAGUGCAGGAAAAAGUUCUGUAAUCCAGGAAUGGAGGAGCUUGUGUUUUAUUGGGUUU
rnacentral:lncRNA from 1 species